rnacentral:lncRNA from 1 species
CCCCCCCCCCCCCCCCCCCCCCCCCCCCCCCCCCCCCCCCCCCCCCCCCCCCCCCCCCCCCCCCCCCCCCCGUGCGCGGGGGCGGCGGGGCCUGGAGCUGGAGCUGGAGCCGGGGCUGAGGCCGGAGCCGGGGCCGGGGGCCGCGGGGAACGCGCCGCGCUCCCGGCUGUAGCUCCCGCGUGAGGGAAUGGCGGUGUCCCUGUCACGGCGCAGCGCUCCCCGGGGCUGUGCGGGGCCGCUGCUCCUGCGGGCGCGCGGGGAAAAUACCGUCCCUUGUCGGGCUGGUUUCACCCCAGCGCUCGGAGCCGGCCUCAGCACCAGGGUGGGACAGGGCUGUGUGACAUCCGCACCCCACCGGGGCAGCGGGGCCGCCCUGGGUGCCAGACCCUGCCUUCAUCCCUGGGUGCCAGACCCCUGCCUUCAUCCCUGGGUGCCCGGCCCCUCUCUGUGUCCUUGUGUGCCAGAACCCUGCUUUCAUCCCUGUGUGCCAAACCCAUGUCUGUGUCCCUGUGUGCUGGAUACCUGCCAUCAUCCCUGUGUGCCAGACUCCUGCUCGUGUCCCUGUGUGCCAGACCCUGCCUUCAUCCCUGGGUGCCUGGCCCCUCUCUGUGUCCUUGUGUGCCAGACCCUGCCUUCAUCCCUGGGUGCCAGACCCCUGUCUGCCCCCCUGUCCACCACACCUGGCUGAGCUCUGGGCAGGCCAGGGCAGGCAGAGCAGCAGCUGUGCCAUCCUCAGGGGCAAAAGCUGUUCUGGCAUAAAGCAGGAUGUUGUUUAAACAUGGGUGUAUAAAGGAGCUUGUCAAAUUCCAGAGAUUGCAUUCUGCAGCUUAGGAGAGCAAAUCCCAGUGAAGUCAUGUUUUAAAUACCUAAGCCCCUUUAUGGAUAUGGGCCCAAAUCAGAGUCACAGAGCAUGAACUUGGCUCAGAGCACUAAAAUCACAGCCCAAGUCUUAAGCUGAAGAUUCAGCAUCUUGUCCUUGCUGCAAAACACAAAACAUUCAUGAUUGAUCCUUAACAAAAGUCCUUCUGUACCUCACUCUUGCUUGUUCCUAAGAUUUGCUUUUUCAGACUUAAAAUAAUUGUUUAAUAGACCAAAACAUUUUUCUUCAGCAAAAUAAAUCUUAAUAACUUGAUACCUUAUUGGGUUUUUUUACAUUUUUGGAGGCCACUCUCAGCCUUGCUAUGACAACUUUUGGACAGCUUUGCCAAGACAAAGAUGCUUCUUUAAUGCCACCCAUAUCUACCUGGCCAUUUCUCAGUGCAUGUGGUUCCCUGCAUGCCUCCAUGUAAGGCAGGAAAAUAAAAUGGCAAAAAUCAAACUUUAGAAUUGAUUCCACAGAGGAGAGCACAAGUGCCCAGUAAGUCUUUAAGAAGAUGGGUCACCACACUACCAUGUCUGUCACCUUUACAUAUUUUCCUUCCUAUUCCAAACCUUUAGGAUAAAACUCUGAGUAAUCACAGACUCCUGUUCAGUAAGAGCUGUAACCCAGUUGUAACCUGUGAUGCAAAGUCCUUUGGCUUAAUAAAUAUCUCCUAUUAGUCACAGGGAGAGAGCAAACACCCUUUAAAAAAAUGUUAAUCUUACUGACAGCAUUUGAUAAUCAGCCAUGAAACACUCCUGACUCACCUGUCAGAUUUUUCUCAAAUCAGGGGAAGCAGAAUUCAUUAAACAGUUCUUUCCUCAUCCCUAUCAAAUCCAGGGAUCUCACAAAUACAUUUUCCCAAGCUUCUCUGCUGUUGUUAGCAGUAGGCAUUGUUCUCAGAGCACUUUCACCUCUUUCUAUGAUCAGCCAAAGGCCUGCCACAUUUACACACUAACAGUCACUUCUGCAGGUCCUCCCAGCUAUCCUGUUGUUUUAAAAAUUAUGACAAUUUAUCUCAAAAUUUUGCACCAACUUUUCCACCUUUUUUAUUUCAAAACUGGCAAUUCCCAUCCUGCCUUUCACUGUAAAAUUUGGAUGAUGUCUGAGCUGUUACUCUCUUCAUGCUCAGGACUUCACAGUCAGGUUACAAGACCUGCUGAAAGGUCUUUUGCCAAUUCUUGACUCUCAUUCAUUACUGUACUUCUCUUUUCUGGCCACUUCACUUUUCCACUUUCUUUCUAAGCUACAGAGCCACAUCAGCUUCUUACCGCUCUGAUCACAAGAAUUGUUAUUAUUGAAAUAGUUCUUUCCCUUUUCACUCAAAACAUGAAUCCCAUGGCCUUGUGCAGCACAGCUGCUCAAGUGUAUCUCAGUCCAAGUCUGAAUUUCAAUUCAUUCAUUUUUGACUGAGACACGUGUCAAUUUUGUUUCCCCUUCCCUGUCUUAUUUUAUCAUAGUCCUUGCACUACUUGAAUCAUCUCAAAAUCCUCCAUAUCUUAAACCUCAAAGAUCUUUAAGUUUAUCUGACCCAAUCCCAAAGAAAGCCUUCAAAAUCCUCCAUAUCUUAAACCUCAAAGAUAUUUAAGUUUAUCUGACCCAAUCCCAAAGUAAGCCAGAUUUUGUUAACUUUACAUCCCAAGUCUGCAAGCAUCCUUAUGCUUGAUUGUAUCAGUGCAAGAACUUAUAGUUUCAGGUAAUCAAAAGGUAAUUGACAAUCUAUUGAUCUUAGUUCACAGCAGGGACAAGCUGACUGUGACAUCGCAGCCUGGCUCCCUUCUAGGACACUGAUUUACUAAUGUGCCUGCUGCUCACAGAAUGUAAUUCCAUUGUCUUUCUUUUGUAACAUUUUAUUCUAAGAUUCUGAGAUAUUCUUUCUCAUUUCACUAACCUUAAAUUAUAGAAAUUGUCGUCCAUUCAUAUUUUCUUUCCUUAGACUGCCUCCUUUGGUUCCAGCACUUUCUUUAUUUUUUCCCUAGAAUGCAGAGAGUUCUAGUGUUCAAACUAUUCUUGCAGCAGACUAUGCAAAUUUUAUGACAUGUGAGGAAGGUAACCAGGCCGAGGUCCUGAUUCUAAUUCUGAAAGAGCACAGGACAAGGUUUGCAGCCAUUCCAGGAGCUGCUUGUCUCUCUGUAAGCUGAGCACCACAGGGACAGCAAGGCCUUGUCCCCAGUGAAAGCAGCAAUUGAUUCCAUUGUGGAGGUCCAGGGAAGGUUUGGACCGGGUGUUCAGCAGCUGAACCAGCUGUUCUUUGACAGCUGAGAGCUGCCAUACCGAUUUCCCUCAGGAUUAAUUUUAAGGCAGCUCUAAUGUAGAUGGAAGUGAUAAUGUAAAGCAAUCCCUUAUCUCAUGGAAGGCAGAUUGUGAACACAGUGGUGCUUCAGCUCCAGCAGGAUAACCCACUAAAACACAUUCCCAUUCCAGAAAAGGCCAAAGGCUACCACAGUGAGGGAUGACACCCUUUGGGGCUGGGAAAGGGCAUUUCAGUAAAGGAUAUUCUGUAAUUGAUGGAGAUCAAUUUUGUGGCCAAUAGGGUACAAUGGUGGAUUUACCAUUCCACAAAUGCCAGCCUCUAUUAACAACAGCUGCACAAUGACCUACUUAUAAAAAAAGACAAGUGAAAAUUCCAUUUUGGAAGACAGCUGCCUAGAAAUUAAUAUUUCCAAAUGAAUGUGGAGAGCCUAAAUACUACGGCCUCAGGCACUUACACCAGAAAGGUUAAGUAGCACGUUUAAUAGAUAAUCUCCAUGAUUAAUUUAUCAGAAAGAACCAAGUGGCUAAUUUCCCCUAAUUGAAAUUUUCUGGCAUGAUAAAAAAUUUUCAUAUAUAAUUCCACUUCCAUUUAAAUCCAUUGUACUAACUUACUAUACGAAAGCAAACAAACCUACAGUCUUGAAUCCUGCUUUCUUCUUCCAGUAAUGGAACAAAAUACUUGCAGGGCCACAUAGAAAGUACUAGAAUGGAUUCUCCUGAUGACUGACAAUACAAAAAGGGAUCAAACAUUCAAAUCCAAUUUCAAAGACAAAAAGGGACCCAGAUUUGCAGAGUGCUUCACAGCCAUCAGCUUUUGCUUUUAGCUCUGGGACAAACCUGGCUGCAGCUCACUGUGAGGAAUUGAGUGGACUGGGGCUCACUGAGAGCACUUUGGAGGGAUUGGAGCAGCUGUAGGGCAAAAGCACAGAGCAAACCGAGGUCAGGGGGCUGUGUCACUGCACUGACUCAGAAAUACUUGAGCUGCUGCUCUAUACCUACAUUUUUAUGUAUUUCUGAUAAAGUAAGUGUCCUGCAUUGUCAAGGGUGGGAUGUCUUGCAAGGAGAGGUGUUUUGGGUUUUUUUUUCAGACUGUGAUGUUCAGAUACAAACUCCUCUUCAGAUGUGGCACAAAGAGAGCAAACUUUAUGCUAGGCACAGACAGGAGGAAAUUGCUCUGAAUUUAACUUUGCUAGGUAAAUCGGUUAGACAACAUGAGGUGGAAAAGAAAAGGGUAUCUGGCACAUGCAACAAUGGAGGAAACUUGGAAGGGGAAAAGUAAUAUGGGUCUUAUACAGAACAGAGAACAGCAGUUACCCGUUUCCUUUGGGCCAUGAGGUGAUUUAUGUGUGGAAAAUGUCAUGUACUGUAAAAUCAAUUUCUCCAUUAUAUCCAUGUUGUCAUUUUUAUUCCUGGGCUUGAGUUUCAGAAUAUUUUUUAAGUCUUUCUUGGUGGUCAGGAGAGCAAUCUCAAGUGAUGCUAACUUUGGUUUAGGCUCCCACUGCUAAUUCUGUCUGUGUUGUGUUGCUUGUCUAUUGUAAUUAAUUUCUGUAUGAAAGAAUUAAUUUGUUCUAGUAACUGUGUGGUUCAUAUAGUCCUCAAAGGACUUUUGAUUCAUUAGAUAAAAGAAAAUUUUGGCAUGUCCAGGUCUAGGAAAGAUGGAUAUUGUGCAGAGUUCAGCACCUCCAGGACUUUGAAUUCAGUGUCCAGAUGCUUGGCACUCCUGACACCUGCUGCAGAGCAGUUCGGUUUGGCAGUGCUGAGGAAGUGAACCUCUGCCGGGUCUCUGAUGGGUUCCUGGUGAGUCACUGGAACUGGGACUCCACACGCCCAAUCCCAGGUCUUGCUCCACAUCUUUUGUACUUAAAAGUACAGCUGUCGAUUAGAUAUGUGAUAGGUAAACAUGUCUUGGCUAGAACUGUGUUUUUAAUACGCUUUUUAUCUAUCACAGGUUUUACAGGUUCUAAAACUCAUGCAGAGGAGUUCUGCAGAUUGCACUCUCUACUUUCCGCCUCUGAGGGGUGGGGAAUUCUUAAAUAUUCCUGUUCCAGAUCUGCCGGGUGCCCGCAGCCUUUGCCCUAGGAAGCAGCCCCCGGUGCGGAGGAGGGUGUGAACAGGGCGAGCAGGGCUGGAGCUCCGUGCCCGGCAGGGCAGGGCAGUUCCUG